rnacentral:rRNA from 1 species
AGUCGAGCGGUAGAGAGGUGCUUGCACCUCUUGAGAGCGGCGGACGGGUGAGUAAAGCCUAGGAAUCUGCCUGGUAGUGGGGGAUAACGCUCGGAAACGGACGCUAAUACCGCAUACGUCCUACGGGAGAAAGCAGGGGACCUUCGGGCCUUGCGCUAUCAGAUGAGCCUAGGUCGGAUUAGCUAGUUGGUGAGGUAAUGGCUCACCAAGGCGACGAUCCGUAACUGGUCUGAGAGGAUGAUCAGUCACACUGGAACUGAGACACGGUCCAGACUCCUACGGGAGGCAGCAGUGGGGAAUAUUGGACAAUGGGCGAAAGCCUGAUCCAGCCAUGCCGCGUGUGUGAAGAAGGUCUUCGGAUUGUAAAGCACUUUAAGUUGGGAGGAAGGGCAUUAACCUAAUACGUUAGUGUUUUGACGUUACCGACAGAAUAAGCACCGGCUAACUCUGUGCCAGCAGCCGCGGUAAUACAGAGGGUGCAAGCGUUAAUCGGAAUUACUGGGCGUAAAGCGCGCGUAGGUGGUUCGUUAAGUUGGAUGUGAAAUCCCCGGGCUCAACCUGGGAACUGCAUUCAAAACUGUCGAGCUAGAGUAUGGUAGAGGGUGGUGGAAUUUCCUGUGUAGCGGUG